rnacentral:rRNA from 1 species
GACAGAGGGGGCAAGCGUUGCUCGGAAUUACUGGGCGUAAAGGGCGCGUAGGCGGCCACCGCAAGUCGACUGUGAAAUCUCCGGGCUUAACCCGGAAAGGUCAGCCGAUACUGCGGGGCUAGAGUGCAGAAGGGGCAACUGGAAUUCUCGGUGGUAGCGGUGAAAUGCGCAGAUAUCGGGAGGAACACCGGGUGGCGAAGGCGGUUCUCUGGGCCUUACCUGACGCUGAGGAGCGAAAGCGUGGGGAGCGAACAGG